CAUUUAUCACCCCAUUGAUCACCAGGGAGGAUUUGGCUGGUCUGGUUGGCUAGGCAGGUG
rnacentral:sRNA from 1 species